rnacentral:rRNA from 1 species
UACGUAGGGUGCAAGCGUUGUCCGGAAUUAUUGGGCGUAAAGAGCUUGUAGGCGGUUUGUCGCGUCUGCUGUGAAAUUUCGGGGCUCAACCCCGAACUUGCAGUGGGUACGGGCAGACUAGAGUGUGGUAGGGGAGACUGGAAUUCCUGGUGUAGCGGUGAAAUGCGCAGAUAUUAGGAGGAACACCGAUGGCGAAGGCAGGUCUCUGGGCCAUAACUGACGCUGAGAAGCGAAAGCAUGGGGAGCGAACAGG